rnacentral:rRNA from 1 species
UACGAAGGGGGCUAGCGUUGUUCGGAAUUACUGGGCGUAAAGCGCGCGCAGGCGGUCCUUUAAGUCGGGGGUGAAAGCCCAGAGCUCAACUCUGGAACUGCCUUCGAAACUAGAGGACUUGGGUACGGGAGAGGUGAGUGGAAUUCCGAGUGUAGAGGUGAAAUUCGUAGAUAUUCGGAAGAACACCAGUGGCGAAGGCGGCUCACUGGCCCGUUACCGACGCUCAGGCGCGAAAGCGUGGGUAUCAAACAGG